GGGAAGCCGAAAACAAACAGACUGAGAAGAAGCCUCAGACAAACGCAGGCAACCCCAUCUCUUAUUGAUUCUCUAAAAACCUGUCAAGAUUUCAAGACGCCAACUCGUGUGACAUCGAGAUACAACAAUGUAUUCAACAAAGGAGAAUCGCCAAUGAAUGAAUCAGAACUUCAACAGGAUAUAAUUUGGGAUGCAACUUCCCCUUCACCCCUUAGGACAGGCAAUUAUAUUUACAUGUCAAUAUAACUACACACGUAGUAGGCUAAGCAGUGAUGAUCAAUUUAAAGUUUACCUUAUCUGUCUUCACUUUUUUCAUGUUCUUUCUUAGGUAGCAAAAGAGGCAAGAAGUACUCAGCAAAUGUUGGAAUUGUGGACAUUUCCGAAAUCGUCAACAGGAUAGCUCCCACGCAUGGGAGACCUGUAGUUCCAGAGUCAUCCUUGCUCCAGUGGAUUGAGACAGUGCUAUUCCCUGCACCCCAGAGAUGCAGCAGCCCAAGGC